GCAGUCGUGGCCGAGUGGUUAAGGCGAUAAACUAGAAAUCCAUUGGGGUCUCCCCACACAGGUUCGAAUCCUGUCGACUGCG
rnacentral:tRNA from 1 species